UACGAAGGGGGCUAGCGUUGCUCGGAAUCACUGGGCGUAAAGGGUGCGUAGGCGGGUCUUUAAGUCAGGGGUGAAAUCCUGGAGCUCAACUCCAGAACUGCCUUUGAUACUGGCAACCUAGAGACUGGAAGAGGUUAGUGGAAUUCCCAGUGUAGAGGUGAAAUCGUAGAUAUUGGGAAGAACACCAGUGGCGAAGGCGGCUAACUGGUCCAGCACUGACGCUGAGGUGCGAAAGCGUGGGGAGCAAACA
rnacentral:rRNA from 1 species